rnacentral:rRNA from 1 species
AUUGAACGCUGGCGGCAUGCUUUACACAUGCAAGUCGAACGGUAUCAGGCCUUCGGGUGCUGACGAGUGGCGAACGGGUGAGUAAUGCAUCGGAACGUACCCAGAGGUGGGGGAUAACGCAGCGAAAGCUGUGCUAAUACCGCAUGUGAUCUGAGGAUGAAAGCGGGGGACCGAGCAGCAAUGUUUGGCCUCGCGCCUUUGGAGCGGCCGAUGUCGGAUUAGCUAGUUGGUGGGGUAAAGGCCUACCAAGGCGACGAUCCGUAGCUGGUCUGAGAGGACGACCAGCCACACUGGGACUGAGACACGGCCCAGACUCCUACGGGAGGCAGCAAUGGGGAAUUUUGGACAAUGGGCGCAAGCCUGAUCCAGCAAUGCCGCGUGCGGGAAGAAGGCCUUCGGGUUGUAAACCGCUUUUGGCAGGAACGAAACGGUGUCCGCUAAUACCGGGCGCUAAUGACGGUACCUGCAGAAUAAGCACCGGCUAACUACGUG